AAAUUGAAGAGUUUGAUCAUGGCUCAGAUUGAACGCUGGCGGCAGGCCUAACACAUGCAAGUCGAACGGUAACAGGAAGCGCUUGCUGCUUCGCUGACGAGUGGCGGACGGGUGAGUAAUCUCUGGGAAACUGCCUGAUGGAGGGGGAUAACUACUGGAAACGGUAGCUAAUACCGCAUAACGUCGCAAGACCAAAGAGGGGGACCUUCGGGCCUCUUGCCAUCGGAUGUGCCCAGAUGGGAUUAGCUUGUUGGUGGGGUAACGGCUCACC
rnacentral:rRNA from 2 species